UCUACCUGCAGUAGAGGUUCUUGUGUCCCUGAUGUUUGACUUCCCCUGCACAAGGUGGGCUCAGUGGCCAACUUUUUGCUUUUUCUGUAGAUGUGAACAGACGAGAUCGUAACAGGGGGUUUUCCCAGGAGAAGCCUGCUCAUUACCAAACUGGAUAUCGUUGGAUUUUAUGAUGCACUGUUGUGGAUUUGGAGUUCACUCUUGCUUCAUAUAUGGAUCUCUUUGAGAGCUACUCUUUCCUCAUGUUGAAAGGCAGCUGCCUUUUAGAGGGGGACUGACCCAGACCCCUGGACGCUGGCUGACAUCUACCUGGAGUGCUUCACCCGCCUUUGUGGCACGGUGGAGGGGGAGCAAAGCGUCAUGCCCACUCUUCCCAAUCUUAACAGCCUUGGAAGUCUGUGUAGCUCCAGCCGCAGCCACAAUGUAGACCGUGUGCGGGUGAAACGCAAGGGCUCCAUCAAGCGCAUGUCCAUCAUUGAGGACGGCCAUGUGGCUGAGGUCCUGUACCUCAUCCCAAAACAGUACAUGGAGCACCUGCCCUACCUCAACCCAAACGACUAUUACCUGAGUGAGAGGCUACAUGAUGUUGCUUCAGUGGCUCAUGCGCAGGACACGCACCACGACUCCACAGCGAAGCCCCUGAUCCAGUGCUAUAAGUGCGGGCAGCCAUGCAAGGGUGAGGUCCUGCGGGUGCAGAACAAGCACUUCCACCUAAAGUGCUUCACCUGUAAAGCGUGCGGAUGUGACCUGGCCCAGGGCGGCUUCUUCAUGAAGAAUGGAGAUUAUCUGUGCACAGUGGACUACCAACGCAUGCAUGGUACUCGCUGCAAUGGAUGCGGGGACUUUGUGGAGGGGGAAGUGGUCACUGCACUGGGCAAGACCUAUCACCCUGCCUGCUUUGUUUGCACAGUCUGCAAACGGCCGUUCCCUGCUGGAGACAGGGUGACCUUCAACGGGAAGGACUGUCUCUGUCAGUACUGUGUUGAGCCUAUGUCUCCAGGACCAAAAGACAUCCUGGGCACCAGCAAUUGUGCAGGAUGCGGACGAGAUAUUAAGAAUGGACAGGCUCUCCUAGCAUUGGACAAACAGUGGCAUCUCGGCUGCUUCAAGUGUAAGGCCUGCGGUAAAGUGCUAACCGGAGAGUACAUCAGCAAGGAUGGUGCACCGUACUGUGAGAAGGACUACCAGAUUCAUUUUGGAGUGCAGUGUGAGGCGUGUCAUCAGUUCAUCACAGGCAAAGUACUUGAGGCAGGAGAUAAGCAUUACCACCCCAGCUGUGCGAGAUGCAGCAGGUGCAAUCAGAUGUUCACGGAAGGAGAAGAGAUGUACCUACAAGGAUCAACAGUGUGGCAUCCUGCCUGCAAGAACACAACUAGAACAGAGGAGAGACACAGGGAGAGGCCAACGAGGUCGUCAUCUGAGAGUAUUUGUUCCAGACCUGGUUCAAGCAUACCUGGCUCACCGGGUCACACAAUCUAUGCAAAAGUAGACAAUGAGAUUCUUGAUUACAGAGACCUAGCUGCCAUUCCAAAAGUCAAAGCCAUUUAUGACAUUGAGCGCCCUGACCUUAUUACCUAUGAACCUAUGUACACCACCUCUCUGGAGGAACGUGAGGAGAGACGAGAAAGUGUAGGAGAGCUUUUCAAUGCCAGGAGGGAGCGCUCGCCCUUGCCCGAUGAAAAGUUUUUUAGACCCAUGUCUCCAACCCUUUCCAAUGAGGGAUGUUAUGACAAAAGAGAACGCAUUCUCCAGAGGUCCACCAGUCAGGGCUCCUUAGGCUCGCCAGUUUAUAAUCGCCAUGGUUACACCCCCACUCUGUCACGGUCCCCACAGCAUUUUCACAGGCCAGAAGCACUGACAGGCAUGCAGAAGCUCUGCUCCUCUUUGUGCAGUAACAGUGUGGGCUCCAGAAAUAAUGACUCCCGCCCCACCUCCCCUUUUAGACACCACUUCCUCCCCCAUAGCCAAGGCACUGACCCACCAAGUGGCCGGAGCUCCCCUCUCCCGCUUAGGCCUGAGAGCCGGCCCGGCACCCCGCCUCUCUCUCUGACCCCUAAACAUUUUCACCUCCCAGAUCAGGGCAGUAACAUCUACAGGAAACCACCCAUCUACAAACAAUACGAGGGAAGAAGACGAUCCAGAGAAGAAGAGGAGGAAGAUGCCUUGAAAAGAAAGCAGCUUCAGGAAGAACACCUCAACAAGAUUCAGUCCGGUUUGGGAAAGCUAAUUCUCAGGGAGGAGAUGGAAAAGGAGCAGAUUAGGGAACGCUACACAAGGAGUGUUUCUGCUCAGCGCUAUGACAUCAAGCAGGAUAACUGUGAUGCAGAUCCGACGUCUCCAACGAGAACAAACUCUUUGCCCGGGUAUGGGAGGAAUGGCCUACACCGGCCCCAGUCAACAGAUUUCACACAGUACAACAGCUAUGGUGACAUGUGUGGAGGGGGCAGAGAGUUUCAGGUAUGUCAACCAUCUGCUUUUUCACACGGCAUGCUUUCUCACCUCACACCACCAAUCUCCUUGCAGUAGGCAUCUUGCCAUGAAUGCACACUCUCCACUUGUGCUACAUGCUUGCAUUGUCGUUGAACAUGUUGCUAUAUGUCAUCCAGAUGUCACCUACGGGGCAUGCAGUCAUUUCAAAUGCACUGCCCAGUAGCUGAGCAGCUGUACUCUAUGUGCAAAGUGCAAGCACCACCUCAUGCGUUAUUUUGUUUGUCUGUAUACCAAUGUCAUGACUCGACUUAAAUGUUAGAUUGUAGAAAUAUUAUUUCAAAAUUCACAUCAGGGAAGCAUAAACAUACAAUGGAACAACAACUGCCCAUUUUGAAUCGUAGGAUCCUGAGCAGUAGUCAAGCUCCUUGCUCCAUCCAGUGAAAAGUGUGCCCACGGUCAUAAAACGACAACAUACUCAUGCCAUUAACCCUGCAGUCCCCUCCCACUAUAUUAUAUUUGUGUAUGUUCUAUUCUUUAGCACAUUAAGGAUGGCCGAGCAGCACUUGCAAGGAUGGACAGGGGAGUAUCUAUGCCUAAUAUGUUGGAGCCCAAAGCAAGUAUCUUCUUCUUUUUGUACUGAUGGCAACAAUGUGAACUACACUAUAUGGACAAAAGUAUUGAGACACACGGCAUUGUCAGUUGCCUAGUCAAUCAGGGCUUGGAAUUGACUCCUUAAUGUCCUCUUGAAUCUUAAUGGUAAUACUCAUCGGUCUUAGAAAGUUUGUGUAAAACAUUGGAAAUGACCUGAAAUGAAAAAAACAAACUAAAAAUAACAUUGGCUGACACUGUUGUGUCAAGAAUUUUUGUGUUUGAAUCUCUUCUCAAAACUUUCUUUCAAAAACAUGCAUUUUAGGUUUAGUGACAAUUCUAAAUUGCUCAUAGGUAUGAAUUGGCGUGCACAUUAGUUUGACGAAACUGUAUGUGCCCUGUGAUUGGUGUACGCAGCCUUUCACCCCAAAUCAGCUGGCUCCUGUUUACCUGUAACCCUCAAGAAAAUAAGCAGUAGAAAAUACAUGGAUAAAUGAAAACUGCAUUAGAUUCCAGAAGUAUGGCAGCCCCAGGUUUGUAAAACCCCUUUCGAAGGCAGAUUUUAUUAAAUUGUUCAUUUCAGGUCUUGCAGUAACAUCUUUCCAAUGUUUUUGCUAUUUAAACAGUUAGAUAAUCCUGUUAAUUCCUCUGCAUGCCAUUUUGGCCAUGCUUCCAUGUGUGGGAACUGUUUGAGGAAGCCCCUUUUCUCUUCCAGCAUGACUGCAAAAAGCAAGGUCUAUAAAUGCAUACUUGGGUGUGCUUGGUGUGGGAAAACCCAUCAAACACCCUUGGGAUGAACUGCAACAGAAAUCAUGUUAUGGCCAGACCCCCUCUCAUGUCCACCAUCAGUGACUGCUAAGUUCAGAAGUUUUGUUCUGGAUGAAUCCGAAUACCAAAAUACCCCCACGCCCCAUACACUCCAAAAUCUUCUGCAGUUCUGAGCUUUAAUGGUCAGGGGUCCCAAUACUUGUGCUCAUGUAUUGUAGGUUAAAAAAUGUACAGGCUACACUAACGAUCGCGAAAAGUGAAAGUUUAAAAACUAAAUAUUUGGACAUAAUGCGGCGUGUUUAACUUAUAGAUAGUCCCAUUGAUUGGAAGUCAUAUACAGUAUGCUUCUUAUAGUGCAGGAGCAUUGUACAGUAUUUGAACACCCAAGUUCGGGAAGUUCCAGAUUUAGCAUGCUGCUUCAGGAGCUGCAGUCACUCUAGUGCUUAGCAUGCCGGCUUCGUCAUGUUCAUCUCCACAUAGCUUUGACUUCUGGUGGCUGGAUACUGUAUGUGCCAUACAGUGAAGAAGCCAAUGCCUAAAACUCCAUCUAAAGCACUCAUACCCCUAUAUACUAUAAUUCCUGUAUAGGAGGCGUGGCAGAAAUGUUCCAGGACUGAUAUAGUUCUAAUCCAGACUACAUGUUUUCCCCUUUGAAGUAAUCCCCCUGGAGUCUAAUGCACUUCCUCAGCCUUCUCUGUUAUCCCCUCAUGCAAUUUUUUGUCGGGAAGAUAAUGCAAUUAUAAUGCAAUUAUCUUCCCGACCAGGAAUUGUCAGAUGCACGUGUGUGCUGAAGCCAGAAAAGGUGCGCAGCACCACACUUUUUUUUGGCUGAGCUCAUUCUACCGUCUACUUAAUUCUAUCAUUUGCCGACCUUCUCGCCAUAUAUGCACUCUGGGUGGAGUAACCCUGAAGUUUGGGCGGUCCCUCACAUGAGGGCCGAGCGUGUAUUCUGCCAAAGAUUUAUGCGCGUUUUCUCAUCCGCAGUCCUUAGGCUGUAGUAAGUCUAGCACCCCAGGAAGGUUAAACAUCCUAUGUCACGUUUUGAUUUGAUUUAACUCCUCCCGCACUCCGACGGUCGGUGAAGGCCCGCUUGGCACAGCGGCUGACUCGUGUUUAUUGAGCAGGAGACACCUGGCCCUAUACGCUCACAUACUGCCCAAUGGGCAUAAUGUUUCCCAACCACAUUACGUUGAGAUAAUACAGUAUAUCAUAGUAAUUGACAGAAAAAAAAAUCAGCGCAAGUGGACUUUUUUUUUCCCCUGUGAGGAGUAUUUCUGCUUCAUUGUGCCUGGCAGUUUGUGGUUUGUCUGAAAGCGCAGAUCAUUGCAGUCAUCUUAAUGGCACAACGGUGAGCUCGCUUUUGAACCAUUUUUUUUUUUAAAUAAAGUAUUUCAUUGUUAAAUGACUCGCUCUCGUUCAACAUGCAUUCAGUCAUGAGCACACUAUUCUGAUUAAAUUGCUAUUGUUGGAUUUAUUAAUUCGCAGAAUACAACAACACAUGCUCCUUCAAAGUAGCCUGUUACAUAAGAGGUACACACGUCUCACUAGCGACAAUUAACUUCUGUAUCUGCUAUAGGAGUUAAUUUCAAAUUAAAAGUGUGACAUAUUUUCCCAAAUGGAUUUCUACUGACUUCAUGCGUCGCGGGAAAUCUCCACAAUUUUAAGAAUUCCGGAGCGCCUCAGAUGUCAAUGAGCCACACCCCUUUGUGUCAAAGUGCACAUAUUCGCCCUGUACGCAUGGUGGGUUUGGCAGAAGUCGUUACGAGAGAAUCUGUGCACCUCGACAGCGUGCAAGCCAGAUUUAUUCAGCAGUGAGAGAAUAUGGCUCAUUGUAAGCAGGCUUGUUGUCAUGGUGAAGCAGCCACGAGUUGUCCUGCCACAACUCUGAUCUCUUCUCAUGCACUGAACAAAGCAAACUCUGCAGGAUCUCUUUCUCGACGUGCUAGUUAUGGGCUUCUCAAAUAACGGCCCAUAAUGUAAUAAAUUUGCUCUUUUCAAAAUGUAACAGGCCCAUUAUGUCAUUUAAUAUUACAUUAUGGGCUCAAUUAUUACAGUUGCAAAGAUGUUUUUUUUUUUUUUUUUUUUUUAACCAGGCCAAUAACAUAAUAAUCAGCCAAUAAUGUAAUAAGUUAUUAUGUUAUUGGCCAAAAGUUAUUACGUUAUAGGUUCAGGACCUUUAUGACAUUGUUGGCCAGUUAUUAUGUUUUGGGCCUAUUGCAUUUUAAAAAGGGCAAAUGUUACGGGACGUUAUUACAUUAUGGGCUGUUAUUAUGUUAUGGGCUUCUACAGCAUGUGAACAAAAAGUUCAAUAGCUCCAGAGAGCUGAGGUCACAUUUACAGUAUAUUCUCCAGGGCGAUUGCAUUGAAGGGGAAAACAUAGUUGGGUUGAAAAUAUCUUUAGUGACGUCAGUCCUGGAACUUUUCUAACACACCUCAUAAGGAGCAUAAGCUAAUCUUGCUUGUCAAAUACAUCACCAGAAUUUUGAUUUGCCACUUUCUUCUCAUAUGCACAGAAAUAAUUAUUCAGAUUGUAGUUUAGUUUUCCAAGGUUCCCAUGUGUUUUACUUGAACAGCAUUAGUGAUGUUAGUUCUAUUUUUUUUAGUUUGUAUUAAAUUGCACUCAAAAUGCCACCCUUACAUAACUGUGUCUACGUGUUCUUUCUUGAUCUAUUGCACGUUAGAGUAUGCACACCAUAGCACCCAACCAGCAUUUUCCCCAAAAAUAAACGACUGCUUUCACCGUCACUCAGCCUCCUGUCACAUACCUGUUUUCCUGCCCAGUGUUCCCUCUGUCACUAUUACAAACACAGUUACUUACAAUGUUUGUUAUUUUGUCAGUUAAAUCGGUUAUUACUUAAGCAACGUGGGUAUGUGACCCUGUGCACUGAUGAGUCUCUCCCUAUGAAGGUGUAUCCCUAUGAAAUGCUCAUGAUAACCAGUAGAGGGAGAGCUAAACUGCCCAGGAACGUGGACAGAACCAGACUGGAGCGCCACUUAGCACCUGAAA